UAUAAUAGUUAAGAAUCUGAAAUUUCUCUAAUCAAAAUGUUGGUCUGGAUUAACUACGAGUGUAUUAGAUAUCCUGUGGUUCUUCCAGCGAAUCCAACUAUACAAAACAUCAAAGAAGCAAUUCAGAAUGAGCAGCACCUUAGAUUUGAAGUACAGGACCAACAGCUAUUCUACCAUAGUAACUACCUGGAAAAUAAUAAUGAAACAGUUGAACAUUAUGGAAUUCAAUCUAAUUCUAUUAGGCGUAUCAAUAUUGAGUAUAACUGGGGGAUGUUUACUGUGUCGAUUUGGGACCAAGAAAUGGGUUUUUCAACUCAAACAAAAAAAAAAAAAAAAAAAAAAAAAAAAAAAAAAAAAAAAAAAAG